UAUCUUAGAAAAAUGAUUAAAAAGAGACUAGAGAGCCUGAUGGAGUGAUUGUUAUCUAAACUCAGUAAUUAAAGGUUGAAUUCUAAGGGGACUUACUCUGUAUCCUUAGGCAAGUAAUAUUCAGUAUUGUACCAUAAUCCAUUUGAGAAAAAUAUAUUGUCUAGCUGAUCGAAUAUUUCCAGGAUAUAUCUACUAUCCUGUUCAGUGCUCAGGAUAGCUUUGUUGAUGCCAAUUUUACUCUAAGUAGCUGUGCAGUAUGAAUGAGAGAAUGGAGAUCUCCUAUAAUGAGUAUUGUUAAAUGUUUAGAUGGAAAGUUCUAUUUGGAGAUUAAGGGACUUUGUUGUAUCUCUGAAUUUAUAUUGCCUCUAGUGUUUUUUAAUUACAACUUUUAACACACCCAGUGUUCUGGCA
rnacentral:lncRNA from 1 species